rnacentral:misc_RNA from 1 species
UCCGAGUUGUCCCCGGCAGUCUCCUUAGAGUCCCCGGCAUUACCCGCUGGCAACUAAGGACAGGGGUUGCGCUCGUUGCGGCACUUAAGCCAACACCUCACGGCACGAGCUGACGACAGCCAUGCAGCACCUGUGCUGGCCCCUUACGGACACGGGCUUUCACCCGCUUUAACUAGCAUGUCAAGCCCAGGUAAGGUGGGGAUGACGUGAUGGAAGCAAGCU